rnacentral:rRNA from 1 species
GAUGAACGCUGGCGGCGUGCCUAAUACAUGCGAGUCGAGCGAACAGAUGAGGAGCUUGCUCCUCUGACGUUAGCGGCGGACGGGUGAGUAACACGUGGAUAACCUACCUAUAAGACUGGGAUAACUUCGGGAAACCGGAGCUAAUACCGGAUAAUAUAUUGAACCGCAUGGUUCAAUAGUGAAAGACGGUUUUGCUGUCACUUAUAGAUGGAUCCGCGCCGCAUUAGCUAGUUGGUAAGGUAACGGCUUACCAAGGCAACGAUGCGUAGCCGACCUGAGAGGGUGAUCGGCCACACUGGAACUGAGACACGGUCCAGACUCCUACGGGAGGCAGCAGUAGGGAAUCUUCCGCAAUGGGCGAAAGCCUGACGGAGCAACGCCGCGUGAGUGAUGAAGGUCUUCGGAUCGUAAAACCCUGUUAUUAGGGAAGAACAAAUGUGUAAGUAACUAUGCACGUCUUGACGGUACCUAAUCAGAAAGCCACGGCUAACUACGUG